AUUCCAGCUCCAGUAGCGUAUAUUAAAGUUGUUGCAGUUAAAAAGCUCGUAGUUGGAUUUCUGAUAGUAGCGUUGGGCCCGCCCGGGUUACCGGUGUGAGUGCCUGUUCGCUCCUUUCAUCCUUCUAGGGAACGGUUCUCUCCUUCAUUGGCAGUGGGAUCGCAAUCUAGAUCUUUUACUUUGAAAAAAUUAGAGUGUUUAAAGCAGGCUUGUGCUAUGAAUACAUUAGCAUGGAAUAAUAAUUUAGGACUUUAGUUCUAUUUUGUUGGUUUCUAGAACUGAAGUAAUGAUUGAUAGGGAUAGUUGGGGGUGCUUGUAUUCAGCGGCCAGAGGUGAAAUUCUUGGAUUCGCUGAAGACUAACUUAUGCGAAAGCAUUCACCAAGGAUGUCUUCAUUG
rnacentral:rRNA from 1 species